rnacentral:rRNA from 1 species
UACGUAGGGGGCAAGCGUUGUCCGGAUUUAUUGGGCGUAAAGAGCGCGUAGGCGGUCUUGUAAGUUUUGAGUGACAGGUGGGGGCUUAACUCCCACAGGCCUUGGAAAACUGCAGGACUUGAGGACUUCAGAGGGAUGUGGAAUUCCAGGUGGAGCGGUGAAAUGCGUAGAGAUCUGGAAGAACACCAAAGGCGAAGGCAGCAUCCUGGGAAGCACCUGACGCUGAGGCGCGAAAGCUAGGGGAGCGAACGGG